rnacentral:rRNA from 1 species
UCGGAUCGCAGGCUGCAACCCGCCUGCGUGAAGUCGGAAUCGCUAGUAAUCGCGGAUCAGCAUGCCGCGGUGAAUACGUUCCCGGGCCUUGUACACACCGCCCGUCACACCAUGAGAGUCGGGAACACCCGAAGCCCGUAGCCUAACUUUAACGAGAGGGCGCGGUCGAAGGUGGGUUCGAUAAUUGGGGUGAAGUCGUAACAAGGUAAC